UAUGAGGCCUCAUCAUCGAAAGAGCUUGACCUCUUCUUCAAGGUAGAUCUCAACAAUCAAAGAUCGAUCUCAUUGCUACAAUAACAAAUAAAGAGUUAGCAUCCUACCAAAUACAAGAACAAAGCCAAAACAAAAAUUUAAAGUCAGAUAGAUCAGUUGUACCUCGAGGACUAACUGAGCUAAAUCUGACAUCGUAUAGAGCCUGUUCGGUUAGGAGCUCCUUUAAUGGUAGUAUCUUCAUAUGACGUAAUUUGUGAAAAUGCUUCUUAUCUUCAGAGAGUGGCUCAGCAUGCUUAUUCUAGGAGGUCUAUGGAUGCCUCCAGUACCAAUUGAAGCCCCACGGAAGGUCAAAAAAGAUGAAAAAAAAAAGCUUUUCUAGCCAUGGAUGGGGCAAGGUAGCCCCUUGAUGAACUAGUAGCCUCCAUAGGGGGUGAAGUACACUAGCCCUU
rnacentral:lncRNA from 1 species